AGAGAGAGUCAGCAUCUUUGGUGAGAGCUUUGAUUGCUGCAGCAUCCACCACGUAUACAAAAGCAAGGAGUAGUGACAGGGUUGGCAGGAAGCAAAGGUACAAAAUUGGCAAUAAUACUUAUAUUCAAAGCAACUGGAAAGGACUGUGUCUCCAGAGAAGUUCAUACCACCACAGAAACACCAGCGGCAACACCUGAAGAGAGCUAGAGACAUGUCAGAUUCUAGGUGAAAGGAUUUUUCUACCUUCAGCCUCUAUGGUUCGAUGCCAGUCAAGAUCAAAAGAUGGGAG